GCAAUUUUCAUUUCUUCCACCAACGUCAUAAAUCCACCCACCAAGUUAUGAUUCAAUACUGCGAUCUGGGGAGCCCAUGAUUCUCCAUGAGUCCCCUGUCCAUUUUAUGAUCCAAGAAACCAUUAGGGAGCAAUGAGUUCAAAUCUGGGUCCGUCUCACUGGGUUGAGAUGGCUAAGCUUCGGUCAAUAGAAGGUGGAUUUCGCACUACCCACAAGAACUUUUGGCCACUUGCUAUUUCUCUUAAUUGUUCCAUUUGAGAACCUCCCCAAGCUCCAGGAACACAGAAGGACAAGUAGACAACACUUUAACUCGGUUGCGACUCGAACCAGGUUAAACGGACUCGAACCAGGUUGAGAUGGCUAACCAGGUCGAUAUAGUAAAGAGAUGUGGAACAACUUGGUAUGCAGAAUCCAUCUGAAAUUGCCUUAAGAGCUUUGGGCUCGAGCAAUUCAAAUAUGUUCACUAUAAUUGCCACUGAUUUUUGAAAGCAGGUGGCCGUGUCUAGAAAGUAUCCAUAGCUUUUUAUUGUGGCGAUAAAGGCAAGUCAGAGGAAAGUAACGGUGGCAAACCUGGCACAUGAAGAAAGAUGUUAAUAUCUCUGAAACUUCUGGUAGUGUUUUCAUGAAGGGUCGGAAGAUGCACGAAAAUAGCAGGAAACCCCGCAGAAGUAACGAAGAAAUAGCCAAGGAUUUGUUUUAAAAUUAUCCCUUCCACAUUAUUUAAAAUAAAUAAUAUUAAUCACUGUG
rnacentral:misc_RNA from 1 species